rnacentral:misc_RNA from 1 species
CCCUUGUGGAGGAGGACGCCGAAGGUGGGGCUAAUGACUGGGGUGAAGUCGUAACAAGGUAGCCGUACCGGAAGGUGCGGCUGGAUCACCUCCUAACAGGGAGACAACAAAAUGUUUAAUAUUAUUAUUUUGUCACCUUAGGUCGAUCGGUAUCUCACGUUCUUAAUUUAUUAAGAAUUUCAUUUCCUAAGUUUUUCUAGGUCACACCCAUUAUUUUUCCUGGGCCAUUAGCUCAGGUGGUUAGAGCGCACCCCUGAUAAGGGUGAGGUCCCUGGUUCAAGUCCAGGAUGGCCCAUAUCUCUAUGUUGGGGGUAUAGCUCAGUUGGUAGAGCGCCUGCUUUGCAAGCAGGAUGUCAGCGGUUCGAGUCCGCUUACCUCCACUGAUUACCACCUCUUCCAUAAUCUGUAGAAAGGAAAAUUUUUGAGUUGUGAUCAUAAUUCUGAACGAAUCUAGCUUCCUAAUGAAAUCAUUAAGAUGCUGGACUCAUUGAUUAAUUUCAUUGUUUUCAGAGAACCUUGACAACUGCAUAGAUUAUUUUUAAAGACAAUAAGCAUCUUUAAUGAUGCAGAUUUAUUAUUUGUGCGAAUGCAUUAAUAACAAUUCUAUUAAGCUGAUGCUUCAAUUUUGAAGUUAUUGGUCAAGCUACAAAGGGCUCACGGA